rnacentral:rRNA from 1 species
GAUGAACGCUAGCUACAGGCUUAACACAUGCAAGUCGAGGGACCGGCGCACGGGUGAGUAACACGUAUCCAACCUGCCCUUUACUCGGGGAUAGCCUUUCGAAAGAAAGAUUAAUACCCGAUAUAAAGGAUGGGGAUGCGUUCCAUUAGGUUGUUGGUGAGGUAACGGCCCACCAAGCCUUCGAUGGAUAGGGGGUCUGAGAGGAAGGUCCCCCACUGUGGAACUGAGACACGGUCCAAACGCCUACGCGGGGGAGCAGUGGGGAAUAUUGGUCAAUGGGUGUUAGCGUGAACCAGCCAAGUAGCGUAAGGGAUGAGGGCUUAUGGGUCGUAAACUUCUUAUAUAAGAAUAUGUAUUAUAUGAAUAAGGAUCGGCUAACUCCGUGCCAGCAGCCGCGGUAAUAC